UCUCCGUAGGUGAACCUGCGGAGGGAUCAUUACAGAGUUCAUGCCCUACCGGGUAGAUCUCCCACCCUAUGUUAUUAUUACUUUGUUGCUUUGGCGGGCCGUUAGGCUCCGGCCCGACUACCGGCCCCGGCUGGUAAGCGCCCGCCAGAGGACCCAAAACCCUGAAUAUUAGUGUCGUCUGAGUACUAUAUAAUAGUUGAAACUUUCAACAACGGAUCUCUUGGUUCUG
rnacentral:misc_RNA from 1 species